rnacentral:RNase_P_RNA from 1 species
GUGGGUGGAAGCUCAUCAUAGAGGUCACAUGCAGGGUGCUUGUCACUCAACCAAUCACCUUGGGGAAGGUCUGAGACAAGAGCCAAUCACUGCCCUAGCAGGGUAUCACCUGACCUGGGUGAGUGAGUGCACAUUGUGAGUUGUCUUUACAGGAGAAACCAGCCAGAGCAGCUCUCCAGCACUACUGGUUGAUGUGACCUCACUGGCUUGGAAACACUCAUGGCUGGCAUAUGAGUGCAAUGUGUGAGUUGGAGUACACCUCCAGAACCCAAUUCAGACUACUCUCUGCCCAC